rnacentral:pre_miRNA from 1 species
GGGAGGUGUGAUACCGUGUUUCCUGGGAGGUGUGAUUCCUGGGAGGUGUGAUCCCGUGCUUCCU